rnacentral:tRNA from 2 species
GCGGGGGUAGCCCAGCCCGGUCAAAGGCGUAGGAUUUAGGCUCCUAUCACUUAGGUGUUCGUGGGUUCAAAUCCCACCUCCCGCA